rnacentral:rRNA from 1 species
UACAGAGGUGGCAAGCGUUGUUCGGAAUUACUGGGCGUAAAGGGCGCGUAGGCGGCCAUCUAAGUCAGACGUGAAAUCCCCGGGCUUAACCUGGGAACUGCGUUUGAAACUACAAGGCUAGAGUGUAGCAGAGGGGGGUGGAAUUCCACGUGUAGCAGUGAAAUGCGUAGAGAUGUGGAGGAACACCGAUGGCGAAGGCAGCCCCCUGGGUUAACACUGACGCUCAGGCACGAAAGCGUGGGGAGCAAACAGG